GACGAACGCUGGCGGCGUGCCUAAUACAUGCAAGUUGAGCGCUGAAGGUUGGUACUUGUACCAACUGGAUGAGCAGCGAACGGGUGAGUAACGCGUGGGGAAUCUGCCUUUGAGCAGGGGACAACAUUUGGAAACGAAUGCUAAUACCGCAUAAAAACUUUAAACACAAGUUUUAAGUUUGAAAGAUGCAAUUGCAUCACUCAAAGAUGAUCCCGCGUUGUAUUAGCUAGUUGGUGAGGUAAAGGCUCACCAAGGCGAUGAUACAUAGCCGACCUGAGAGGGUGAUCGGCCACAUUGGGACUGAGACACGGCCCAAACUCCUACGGGAGGCAGCAGUAGGGAAUCUUCGGCAAUGGGCGAAAGUCUGACCGAGCAACGCCGCGUGAGUGAAGAAGGUUUUCGGAUCGUAAAACUCUGUUGGUAGAGAAGAACGUUGGUGAGAGUGGAAAGCUCACCAAGUGACGGUAACUACCCAGAAAGGGACGGCUAACUACGUG
rnacentral:rRNA from 1 species